UGGGGAAUAUUGCACAAUGGGCGCAAGCCUGAUGCAGCCAUGCCGCGUGUAUGAAGAAGGCCUUCGGGUUGUAAAGUACUUUCAGCGGGGAGGAAGGGAGUAAAGUUAAUACCUUUGCUCAUUGACGUUACCCGCAGAAGAAGCACCGGCUAACUCCGUGCCAGCAGCCGCGGUAAUACGGAGGGUGCAAGCGUUAAUCGGAAUUACUGGGCGUAAAGCGCACGCAGGCGGUUUGUUAAGUCAGAUGUGAAAUCCCCGGGCUCAACCUGGGAACUGCUUUUGAUAUUGGCAAGCUUGAGUGCGGUAGGGGGGGGUGGAAUUCAGGGGGUGGCGUUGAAAUGGGUAGAAAUUUGGAGGAAUACGGUGGCGAAGGCGGCCCCCUGGACGAAGACUGACGCUCAGGUGCGAAAGCGUGGGGAGCAAACAGG
rnacentral:rRNA from 1 species